GGCCUUGCUCUUAUGUCAUCUGACUAAAGGUUUCAUAGACCAAAGAUAACCAUCCAACUUGUUGGAAUACUGAAACAAUUGCUGCCUGCUGUCCACACACCACAUAAAAUAUGUGGAUUUCGUAAAUUCUGCAAAAAAGGUUUGGAAGCUGAUCAAUCAAUACUGGAACUCCCUCUUCUCCAGAAGAGACAUCCUGGCCUCCAUGCAGAGGAAUGUGUGGAUGGACAUAUAUUUAAGGAAGACACUAAACCAGAAACUACUACAUUACACCCUCUUAGAAGACUUCUAAGAUUGUUGUCAUGCCUACCACAGACAUUCAGAUGAUGUAUAUUGUUGAUUGUGAUUUCAUGUUUGGACCUGAUGAAGGAGUUUGAAGUCUCCAGAGCAGCAAAGAGAGUGGGGAGUAGAACUCAUCAUCUUUAGGUCACUCAUCAUCG